GAUGAACGCUGGCGGCGUGCCUAAUACAUGCAAGUCGAGCGAACAGACGAGGAGCUUGCUUUUCUGACGUUAGCGGCGGACGGGUGAGUAACACGUGGAUAACCUACCUAUAAGACUGGGAUAACUUCGGGAAACCGGAGCUAAUACCGGAUAAUAUAUUGAACCGCAUGGUUCAAUAGUGAAAGACGGUUUUGCUGUCACUUAUAGAUGGAUCCGCGCUGCAUUAGCUAGUUGGUAAGGUAACGGCUUACCAAGGCGACGAUGCGUAGCCGACCUGAGAGGGUGAUCGGCCACACUGGAACUGAGACACGGUCCAGACUCCUACGGGAGGCAGCAGUAGGGAAUCUUCCGCAAUGGGCGAAAGCCUGACGGAGCAACGCCGCGUGAGUGAUGAAGGUCUUCGGAUCGUAAAACUCUGUUAUUAGGGAAGAACAAAUGUGUAAGUAACUGUGCACAUCUUGACGGUACCUAAUCAGAAAGCCACGGCUAACUACGUG
rnacentral:rRNA from 1 species